UCCCGUCAUAUCAAAACCAAAGACUUCCCUCCCUUGAUUGAAAAAUUUGGGUCAUUCUCCCUCCCUUUCUCUCUCACCAUCUCACCAGCCUAUCGAGAGUGAAAUCGAUACAUUCUUGCUCUCACUCUCUCUCGCUCUUGCCUCACUCUCUCUCUGGCUCUCACUCUCACUCUCUCUCCGCCGCCCCAGCUCGAAGUCGCUACCUGGUCCUGUGGUUUACUCUCUCCGCCGCCUCUGCUCGAAGUCACCGAAACUUAAGACCGCAUCAACUCCAGUCGAGCUGGAUAAUGGAUUAGUCUACAGGUACUAUAUCCCUCUUUAAUAGGGCCUUUGUUUGAUUAGGGUUUGGAAAUUUUCAAUUUGGGUUUGUUGGGUAUGAUUGGGUUUGGGUUUUAUUCGACUUUGAGAUUUUGAGAUGAUGGGUAAGGGGUUUGUGCCAAACGCAAAGGCUAUGAUGGAGGUUCUAAAGUUAAGGCCAACACCAGUAAUAAGAAGGGUCAUGAACAUUGUUCUUUCCAAGUUGAAGGGCUGAUGCAUUGCUUCAUCAAUAUUGUUCCAGCAGCUUUAGGAUUAUGAUGUUCCAGAUAUGGGGCAGCCAGUAAGAGUAGCAAAUCAUGUAGUAUUGAGUUUCAAUUAAUGGGGGAUUUUGGGCUGUUCUUUAUCCUUGUGAAUGUGACAAUGGAGUAGUGUGAAGGUUGACAUUGAAGUAAACAAGUAGUCUUUGCAGCUAAUUCCUUUAGUUUCUCUUUCUUUCUUUGUGGUGUUCUUCAUUCUUAUUCUUUCCUGCUUAGCCACAUGGAAUUAUCUGCUUUUUGACAGGACAGACAUGAGGAAAUGCUUCUUCUUUAGUUAUAUUUUUUAUUCUUAGUGCAUUUUUGUCUUCCUUUAAACUUUACGAAUCAUCCUAAUUUGUGCAAUUUUUGAAGGGUUACAUGACCAUAUAAUUGUGAUCUCUAUUUGGGUAGAAAGGGAUAACAAUUCCAGUGGUUGAAGUAAAGAUGUUUCUUUUAGUCUGACAAGUUGACUCUGAAGUGAACUGUUUUACUGAUCAAUUCAAAUCAGUAAGAUAUGUGCUCUGAUUCUGCCUAUAAUGUAAGGUAAUAUUCAUUCAUUUUCCUUUUCCCCCAUUUGACUGUAAGGGAAUUUAGGUAAGUUUUACACAUUUCAAUUGAAUGACAUAGUACUUCUCUUGUUAUUAGAUUAUCAGUCAAUAAUAAAUACAACAUCUUCUUAUUAGUUUCAAGUUUUGACUAUUAAAUUAGUCUACAGGUAGAUAAAGCUUUCCUUCAUCCAGUAUAGUUUUGAGUUUAAUACAACUUGCCUGGAGAUAAGCCGUAGUUUAGAAGCACUAUCUUGUUUCUCUUAUUUUGAUGCUAAAAAUCGUGAACAUGCACAAAGUUAAAGCUUUACAUUGAUGAUUUUUAAGCUGGGGCUGGGAUUAGACGUCUAUAGGACGUUAGUAAAUCAUCAUGGAGAUGUCUACAGCUUCGACAACAUGGAAGUUGAUGUGGGGGGAUGCAAUCAGAUCUUGCAUUGGUACUUGUGUGGAGGCUGAUGUUUGGAAUUUGUUCCACGGCCUUAGACUUGCCUCUGAUCAUGGUCACAGAGCGGUAGAGGUGAAAUCUGACUCUUGUUCUAUUUCUCAAACUCAGUUGGAAGAGUUGGAUUCCCUAUAAAGCCCUGUAUACAGUUGCAAAGAGUUGCUAGGAAGGAAUUAAACUUGUGUCCUGCCCCAAUAUAUAUACAUAUGGGCAGGAAAGUUGUAUUGCUGGCUCUCCUGCAUUCCAUUUUGUUGGAGCCUUGUGGAAAUGCCACUGCUUCUCUGCACCAGCAAGAUAAAAGCGUAUGGCAUUUUCGAUAGUUAGGUGUGCGAGAUAUGCCAUUGGUAUACCUAAAUAGACGAGAAUCAUUAUAGACAGACCAAACCAUUGGACACCUAACACAGUUAUGGCUAUUCCAAGGCUUUCAGUAGAAAUCAGAAAUAUUACUAGGGACUCCAAUUAUCUGGGUAAACCUGAGCUGCUAUCCAUGUUUGAACUUCUAAAAGAUGUACAUGAAUAGUUGAAUACUAAGCCAUUUCAGAAGCAGAGAGUGGCUAAUGGUAUGAUAUCUAUACAUUUCAAUUUUUCCUUCCGAGGUUAACUACGAGCAAAAAGCUGAUCUAGCAUCAUGUUGUUCACAACAUUAAAAGUAUCUCCUUCCUGUAGAUCCUCAAAUUCUUUGUACAUCGAAAACUUUAUUUUGGCAAGUCAGUUGGAUUUCUCAUAUACCAUUAGAUAUCUGGUGCCAGACUAGCAGUAAACAUGGACUUUUUAGUCCUUAAAAAAAGCUCGUUCCACAUGCUAGAGAGAUGUAUAAACGGUCAUUUAAUCAGCUAGAUUUUUCACCCUUUAUGAAUUUCUCAUGUUGAUAAUGACACUACUUUGUAGUUCUACCAAAAUUUAUUGGUGAUUCAGUGAUUCAUUGUUAAUUGUCUUAGCGUCUGCAGUUCCUCACCCUGAAGUUUCUGAGUUUGUUAUCUUGUUUAAUGCAGCUUUAUUGGUUUACCACAUCCUGGUCUACUUUCUAUGAAUCUGCACUGAAAACUUUACAACCAAGAUUGGAGCUUAUGGUAACAUUACCAUCCUAUCAAAACCAUGAAAAGGUCUAGCUUUUCACAAGCAUCUUGUAUCUAGAAAGCUAAAGGUUCCAUAUUCCAUUUUGAAAAACAUACCUGUUUUGUUUCUAUUUUUCAGUUCUCUGGUAAUUUUAACAUUUGGUUUAGGACGUAAGAGUGGACAAGAGUUUUGCUACUUGUUACUCUUGCCAAUAUAAUUUGAUGAGACUAUUUUCUAUACCACAACACUAUCAUUUUGUUGCUGCCUUGAUAACAAGACUUGGUGCUUAUGGUUUAGUAUCAUAUUCUGUAAUCAUAUAACUUGCUAAAGAACAUAGUUAUCCUCAUUAAUGUUGGAGCUGAGAACAUUAGAAACAGGUUCAUCAGCUACUGCACUUGUUACUAUGGAUUCGAGAUAGUUUAAUGUGAAUGGUAUUCAGUUUUGACUUCAUAUUCAAGAUCAUCACCUAAAGUAGUUGAAUAGAAGGCAGAUCCUCUUUUGACCUUUCUUUCUGAGUUGUAUCAGGUGCCCAAGGAAUUGAUUUAGCUUUUGUGUUUUCAUUGAACUUUUUGGUGCUGGAACAAUAUGAAUUGGUGCUUACAAUAUUUUGGUCUGCUCCACAUUACAGACACUGAUACUUUAGGUAUCUAUCAUAAUCUGUGCCUGCAUGGAUACUAAUGGUUCUAGCAAUAUCUAUUGAGGUUGUGAGUUGCUCAAGCUAUUAUCCAAUAUUUAAUGGAUGAAGAUUAGUACUUACGUUUCGAUGAGCAUGAUUGAGGAGGUUAAGGGGUUACUUACUACAACAAUUUAUGCAGUUUCUUGUGAGUAAGUUUGUAGGGUGAUCGGCGGCAGGUCAUGUUGUUCAAGUAGCUAGCUGGCUGUCUGUUCCACAUAUACUGAUCCAUUGGGUUUGGGACUAUCCAGCUUAUUCGAGUUUGUUACUGCAUCUCCAGACAUUUAUCAAGCAAGUCUAGGGGCAGACUCAGAAUUUCUAGUGUUAGCAUCUGAUGGUUUAUGGGAUUACAUAAACAGUUCAGAUGCAGUUUCUUUUGUAAGGAAUCAGCUUCGACAACAUGGAGAUGUCCAGCUAGCUUGUUAUGCGCUUGCUGAAGCUGCUCUGGCAACAACUAUUUGAAUGGAUUGUGUUUAUUCUGACCAUAGCGCUGGAUUAUGUCAGGAAAGUCCAAAAUGCUUGAAAUUUUGGUUGCUUGAAACUUUUAUUUAUUUGAUGACAUGGUUGCUUGAAAUUUUGGUUGCUAUUGUUUUGCAUGUAUUUUGGUGAAUGUCAUAUAUCUAAUUUUGGUUGCUGUUGGUUGCUUGGAUUAUGCUUAUUGAAAUUUUGGUUGUCAAUUACUAAGUGGCAUCUAUGUAAUGCUCAAAUUACAAAUUUUUGUCAAGGUUGUCCAGAAUACAUAAUGUACAAUGACAACUAUAGAUUAUUUUCUGCAAUUUUGUCCAUUAUUAAGUGCAAACCAUUUUGUUUUAGUGGGAGAGAAGAGGAAGGCAGCAUAUCCCAGGAAGAUAUGGAUGUGGGAGUGGGCAAUUUAUGGUCAAGACAUAUAUGUAAGCAUUGUGCUGGACAUAUAUAUAUAUAUGUAUCGGUUGAGACUUAAUUUGUUCUUUAGAUUUGGUUAGACAUGAGUUGGUGCUAGUACUUUGAAUUGAUAAUGUAAGAUUUGUGAGAAUGAUGUAUGAGAAUGCAGUAAAUGACAUUGGAACUUCAAAUUUCAUA